rnacentral:rRNA from 1 species
UUCUUGCUUUUUAGCAAGUAGUCCCUGCUCAGUGAUUAUUAAAUAGCCGCGGUAAUUUGACUGUGCUAAGGUAGCGUAAUCAUUAGUCUUUUAAUUAAGGUCUAGAAUGAAUGGGUUAACGACAGGGGGUGGUAAUAGGAUAAUUUAAUGAAGUUUUAGUUUAAGUGAAAAUACUUAAUAUUAUUUAAAGACGGAAAGACCCUGGAAGUUUUAUAAUAUUUUAUUUCAUUGGGGUAAUGGCUGGAGCUUAGGUUUUAGUGGGGCAGAAAAAUUACUCCAGGGAUAACAGGACAAUUUAGAAGGUCAGUUCGUAUGUAUUUUUAAGAUUGUUACCUCGAUGUUGGAUCAUCCUUUCCCAAGGUGUUUUUGGGUUCUAGGUCUGUUCGACCAUAAAAGGUUACGU